rnacentral:rRNA from 1 species
GCAGUGGGGAAUAUUGGACAAUGGGCGCAAGCCUGAUCCAGCCAUGCCGCGUGAGUGAUGAAGGCCUUCGGGUUGUAAAGCUCUUUCACCCACGACGAUGAUGACGGUAGUGGGAGAAGAAGCCCCGGCUAACUUCGUGCCAGCAGCCGCGGUAAUACGAAGGGGGCAAGCGUUGUUCGGAAUGACUGGGCGUAAAGGGCGCGUAGGCGGUUCGUUGCGUCAGAUGUGAAAGCCCCGGGCUCAACCUGGGAACUGCAUUUGAUACGGGCGGGCUUGAAUCCAAGAGAGGGUGGUGGAAUUCCCAGUGUAGAGGUGAAAUUCGUAGAUAUUGGGAAGAACACCAGUGGCGAAGGCGGCCACCUGGCUUGGUAUUGACGCUAAGGCGCGAAAG